UACGUAGGGCGCAAGCGUUGUCCGGAAUUAUUGGGCGUAAAGAGCUCGUAGGCGGCUUGUCACGUCGAUUGUGAAAGCCCGAGGCUUAACCUCGGGUCUGCAGUCGAUACGGGCUAGCUAGAGUGUGGUAGGGGAGAUCGGAAUUCCUGGUGUAGCGGUGAAAUGCGCAGAUAUCAGGAGGAACACCGGUGGCGAAGGCGGCUACCUGGACCGGUUCUGACACUGAGGAGCGAAAGCGUGGGGAGCGAUCCGG
rnacentral:rRNA from 1 species